AUUGAACGCUGGCGGCAUGCUUUACACAUGCAAGUCGAGCGGCAGCGCGGGGCAACCUGGCGGCGAGCGGCGAACGGGUGAGGAAUACAUCGGAACGUGCCCGAGAGUGGGGGAUAACGCCGCGAAAGCGGCGCUAAUACCGCAUAUUCUCUGAGGAGGAAAGUGGGGGACCGCAAGGCCUCACGCUCACGGAGCGGCCGAUGUCGGAUUAGCUAGUUGGUGGGGUAAAGGCUUACCAAGGCGACGAUCCGUAGCUGGUCUGAGAGGAUGAUCGGCCACACUGGGACUGCGACACGGCCCAGAGUCCUCCGGGAGGCAGCAGUGGGGAAUUUUGGACAAUGGGGGCAACCCUGAUCCAGCCAUGCCGCGUGCGGGAAGAAGGCCUUCGGGUUGUAAACCGCUUUUAGCCGGGAAGAAAAGGCGCAGGACAAUACCCUGCGUUCUUGACGGUACCGGCGGAAUAAGCACCGGCUAACUACGUGCCAGCCGCCGCAGUAAAAC
rnacentral:rRNA from 1 species